rnacentral:rRNA from 1 species
GACGAACGCUGGCGGCGUGUCUAAUACAUGCAAGUCGAACGCUUCUUUCCUCCCGAUUGCUUGCACUCAAUUGGUAAGAGGAUUGGCGGACGGGUGAGUAACACGUGGGUAACCUACCCAUCAGAGGGGGAUAACACUUUGAAACAGGUGCUAAUACCGCAUAACAGUUUAUGCCGCAUGGCAUAAGAGUGAAAGGCGCUUUCGGGUGUCGUUGUUGGAUGGACCCGCCGUGCAUUAGCUAGUUGGUGAGGUAACGGCUCACCAAGGCCACGCUGCAUAGACGACCUAGGUGGGUACACGCCCACACUAGGACUGAGACACGGCCCAGACUCCCACGGGAGGCACCAGUCGGGAAUCUUCGGAACAGGCCGACAGUCUGACCGACCAACGCCGCGUGAGUGAAGAAGGCUUUCGGAUAGUAGAGCUCUGUUCUGAGCGCAGAACAAGGAGCUCAGUAACUGAACGUCUCCUGCCGGUAGCCAACCAGAAAGCAACGGCUACCUACGUC